rnacentral:rRNA from 1 species
GUCUAUGGCCAUACCACCCUGAACAAGCCCCAUCCCGUCUGAUCUCAGAAGCUAAGCAGGGUCAGGACUGGUUAGUACUUGGAUGGGAGACCACCUAGGAAGACCAGGUGCUGCAGGUG